GGCCCACUGAAGCCACCCAAAAAACAAUGAAGUCUCUUUAAAGGAUACUUUGAAACAUUGUCUACCUCUCUUUCCGUGAUGGCAAGAAAACAAAUAACUUGGGUGACAAAGAUAUGGAUCUGAAUAUCAAUGGUAUGUUAUAGGCUGGCUGAUGUUAAAGGAAAUAUCUGUCUUCCAAUUUCAAAAAGUAUUAACCAGCUCAAUGAGGGUGAGGGUCUUUGUGAGUGCACAAGGCGCUGGUUGGCAUAAAUGUAACCACAUUUGUCUUUUCUGUGUAAGUGUAUUUUUUUUGGAGCAAUGCUUGAUUGAUUGUUUGUGCAUUUUGUACCUUAGCCAAAGUGGACAAUUGAAGUAAAAAAAAUCCACUGUAUACACUGAGGAACUUGCAGCAAACAAGCAACUUUAUAGCUUCAAACGGCAUUCAAAUGUUUUUCUUGUUCUUACAUGGAGUUUUAUUCCUUUACUACUACAAGUACACAAUUGAAAUGUAGGCCUAUUUGCAGGAGGAAUUGUUGCAUAGAGCACCUGUAGCCCUUUCCAGCAGUCAAAUGACCAAAAGUGGUCUCAUGGGUGGAAUGUUAUUCAUAUUUCUCAUAAUUAAUAAACAUCCAGUGUUGCUAUGUCAAACGGUUGUGUUAUAUUUCAGUACUCUGUGAUGUCUAUAAAAUGUAAUAUUGAGAUGCAAACUCAAAAUUGAAUAUAUUUCAACUCUAUAUCUGACAUGGUAAAGGUGUCUUAUUUUUUUAAACCCAUAACCAUGUGUGUGAGGUGUUCACUUCUUUUUCUAACUAGGUUUGUUUAAGACUACCAAGGAAGGUUAAGGGGACGGGGUAGUGAUAUGAUGCAAUAGUAGUGGCAACAAGGUUGCCUGGAGAGUGUCUUCAGGAGAUAGAUUUGAUAGGUGUUACAGCAGGUACCUUAGGUGAUGCCUAUAGUGUUAGACUACUUGGUAGAAGAUGUUCCUUAUAAGUGAUUCCAUACGAAACCAGAACAAACAAAAUAUGAUGAUUUGGGGAUUUUUGCAACAUUUAAUCCAUAGAAUGGUCCUUUGGAGGAAGGAUUGUUGACAUAUAUUUGACAGUUGUAUCUAAAAGCAUAAUUGAGAAAUACUGAAUCAAAGUUGCCAUAUUAUGGCAUUUUUGCCAUACCCAGGCCUCCUUUAAGACUCCAUAAUGUUUCAUCUGUAGAUGCUAAAAAGCAAAAAUUGGUGUCAUAUGAAACUUUAAUGCUUGCUCUGU
rnacentral:lncRNA from 1 species